rnacentral:rRNA from 1 species
AUUGAACGCUGGCGGCAGGCCUAACACAUGCAAGUCGAGCGGAUGACGGGAGCUUGCUCCUUGAUUCAGCGGCGGACGGGUGAGUAAUGCCUAGGAAUCUGCCUGGUAGUGGGGGACAACGUUUCGAAAGGAACGCUAAUACCGCAUACGUCCUACGGGAGAAAGCAGGGGACCUUCGGGCCUUGCGCUAUCAGAUGAGCCUAGGUCGGAUUAGCUAGUAGGUGAGGUGAUGGCUCACCUAGGCGACGAUCCGUAACUGGUCUGAGAGGAUGAUCAGGCACACUGGAGCUGAGACGCGGGCCAGACUCCGACGGGAGGCAGCAGUGGGGAAUAUUGGAAAAUGGGCGAAAGCCUGAUCCAGCCAUGCCGCGUGUGUGAAGAUGGUCUUCGGAUUGUAAAGCACUUUAAGUUGGGAGGAAGGGCAGUAAGUUAAUACCUUGCUGUUUUGACGUUACCGACAGAAUAAGCACCGGCUAACUUCGUGCCAGCAGCCGCGGUAAUAC